rnacentral:rRNA from 1 species
AUUGAACGCUGGCGGCAGGCUUAACACAUGCAAGUCGAGCGGAGAUGAGGUGCUUGCACCUUAUCUUAGCGGCGGACGGGUGAGUAAUGCUUAGGAAUCUGCCUAUUAGUGGGGGACAACAUUCCGAAAGGAAUGCUAAUACCGCAUACGCCCUACGGGGGAAAGCAGGGGAUCUUCGGACCUUGCGCUAAUAGAUGAGCCUAAGUCGGAUUAGCUAGUUGGUGGGGUAAAGGCCUACCAAGGCGACGAUCUGUAGCGGGUCUGAGAGGAUGAUCCGCCACACUGGGACUGCGACACGGCCCAGACUCCUACGGGAGGCAGCAGUGGGGAAUAUUGGACAAUGGGCGGAAGCCUGAUCCAGCCAUGCCGCGUGUGUGAAGAAGGCCUUUUGGUUGUAAAGCACUUUAAGCGAGGAGGAAAUCCCCAGCGCUAAUACCGCUGGGGGAUGACAGUACCUGAAGAAUAAGCACCGGCUAACUACGUGCCAGCCGCCGCAGUAAUAC